UUAAAUUGAAGGGUUUGAUCAUGGCUCAGAUUGAACGCUGGCGGCAGGCCUAACACAUGCAAGUCGAACGGUAACAGGAAGAAG
rnacentral:rRNA from 1 species